rnacentral:rRNA from 1 species
CCAAUAGCGUAUAUUAAAGUUGUUGCAGUUAAAAAGCUCGUAGUUGAAUUUCGGGAUUGGCGCAUCGGUCGUGCCUCACGGGGUAUGAACUGGUGCAGUCAAUUUCUCACCUUCUGGAGAACCGCGAUGUCCUUAAUUGGAUGCCGCGGGGAACCAGGACCUUUACUUUGAAAAAAUUAGAGUGUUUAAAGCAGGCAUUUUUGCUUGAAUACAUUAGCAUGGAAUAAUAAAAUAGGACGGCAUGGUUCCAUUUUGUUGGUUUCUAGGACCACCGUAAUGAUUAAUAGGGAUAGUUGGGGGCAUUAGUAUUCAAUUGUCAGAGGUGAAAUUCUUGGAUUUAUUGAAGACUAACUACUGCGAAAGCAUUUGCCAAGGAUGUUUUCAUUAAUCAAGAACGAAAGUUAGGGGAUCGAAGACGAUCAGAUACCGUCGUAGUCUUAACCAUAAACUAUGCCGACUAGGAAUCAGACGAUGUUAAUUUUUUAAUGACUCGUUUGGCACCUUAC